GACGAACGCUGGCGGCGUGCCUAACACAUGCAAGUCGAGGGGCAGCAUUUCAGUUUGCUUGCAAACUGGAGAUGGCGACCGGCGCACGGGUGAGUAACACGUAUCCAACCUGCCGAUAACUCGGGGAUAGCCUUUCGAAAGAAAGAUUAAUACCCGAUGGUAUAAUCAGACCGCAUGGUCUUGUUAUUAAAGAAUUUUCGGUUAUCGAUGGGGAUGCGUUCCAUUAGGCAGUUGGUGAGGUAACGGCUCACCAAACCUUCGAUGGAUAGGGGUUCUGAGAGGAAGGCCCCCCACAUUGGAACCGAGACACGGUCCAAACUCCUACGGGAGGCAGCAGUGAGGAAUAUUGGUCAAUGGGCGCAGGCCUGAACCAGCCAAAGUAGCGUGAAGGAUGACUGCCCUAAUGGGUUGUAAACUUCUUUUAUAUGGGAUAAAGUUUUCCACGUGUGGAAUUUUGUAUGUACCAUAUGAAUAAGGAUCGGCUAAACUCCGUGGCAGCCGCCGCCGUAAG
rnacentral:rRNA from 1 species